rnacentral:tRNA from 1 species
GGGCGAUUAACUCAGCUGGUCAGAGUGUCUGCUUUACACGCAGAAGGUCGGGAGUUCGAAUCUCUCAUCGCCCAC